rnacentral:lncRNA from 1 species
AUGUUACAGAUGAGGAAACUGAGGCACAGGCAAGUUAAGUCACUUGUUCAGGCUCAUGCAGCCAGUAAGCAGAUGAGCUGGGAUUUGAACCUCUGCAGCCAGGCUCUCAAACUUGCACAAUAUUUCUUCUUUCCUACCAGGCACAGCAGUGAUAUUUGGCCCCUGGGAAGUGAAGGGCACCCCCGUAACCUGGUGGGUCCUGGUGCUGAUGGUUGUUGGCAACCUUGCACAGGUGGGGGUGACAGAGGGACCAUGUCACAGAUGAGGAAACAGAGAUGCCGAGGAGUUUGUUUGAUCACUAACAUCACAGUGGCAGGAAUAAUGGUUUGCCACAGUCUCCAGUGGAUGGAGUGCAUUCGUUUUGGUUCUGGGGCUGCCUUGGCUCUCCAAGUGGCCUGGACCACAGGCAACAGGUUGCCAGCCCAAAGAGUUCCCCUCCCUGCCAGCAUGGCCAGCAGUGUGGAUGCUGGUGUUUGGGGCAGUGAGAAGCACAAGCUGUGUGGCCCUGGUAAGUCUCUGCCUCUUGGGCUUGGUGUGCCCACCACAGCUUGGGGGAUCUGAUGGGGGGUGCCCACCAGGCCCCGACCACCAUGACAGACAGCACAGGUGCAGUUCUGGGACCUCAGCAGACCUGGGAAUGCAGACAGGGCCUCAAGGCUGCCGGCUUUGGCGGGCACAUUAAAGGUGGCAUGGGUGAGGGCCUCCGUUAGGGCUUAGGGGCUGAGGGGUCUAAGCCCCCUCAAUGUGGAGGUUCUCCCUUCUUUCUCCAGGGGCCCUGCCAUUAGUCCAGAAGCCUCUUGCUCAAAUUUGCAGUCCAGGCCCUGCUGCUGUCCAUCCUUGAGGCUGGCAGGUGUGCAGGCCCAGCGUGU